CAGUAGCCGCGGUAAUACGGAGGGUGCAAGCGUUAAUCGGAAUUACUGGGCGUAAAGCGCACGCAGGCGGUCUGACAAGUCAGAUGUGAAAUCCCCGGGCUUAACCUGGGAACUGCAUUUGAAACUGUCAGGCUGGAGUCUUGUAGAGGGGGGUAGAAUUCCAGGUGUGGCGGUGAAAUGCGUAGAGAUCUGGAGGAAUACCGGUGGCGAAGGCGGCCCCCUGGACAAAGACUGACGCUCAGGUGCGAAAGCGUGGGGAGCAAACAGGAUUAGAUACCCCAGUAGUCCCUGUCUCUUAUAC
rnacentral:rRNA from 1 species